UACGGGGGGGGCAAGCGUUGUUCGGAAUUACUGGGCGUAAAGGGCUCGUAGGUGGCCAACUAAGUCAGACGUGAAAUCCCUCAGCUUAACUGGGGAACUGCGUCUGAUACUGGACGGCUUGAGUUUGGGAGAGGGAUGCGGAAUUCCAGGUGUAGCGGUGAAAUGCGUAGAUAUCUGGAGGAACACCGGUGGCGAAGGCGGCAUCCUGGACCAACACUGACACUGAGGAGCGAAAGCCAGGGGAGCAAACGGG
rnacentral:rRNA from 1 species